rnacentral:rRNA from 1 species
GUUGGAUUGACAGAUUGAAAGCUCUUUCUUGAUUAUGUGUAUGGUGGUGCAUGGCCGCUCCUGGUUGGUGGAGUGAUUUGUCUGGUUGAUUCCGUUAACGAACGAGAUCUUGGCCCUUCAAUGACAGUUUGAUCGCAUCUGUAAUCCAGUCGACGCGCUUUCGUGCUCGCACUGGAUGAGAUCUUGUCUUGUACUCAAGGGGACGAUGCAUGUUGACAAUGCAUGGAAGUGCGAGCCAAUAGCAGGUCUGUGAUGCUCCUAGAUGUCCUGGGCUGCACGCGGCAUACAAUGGUGAAGAAAACGAGUUUGGUUUGUUUGAGCUCCUUGUGCGAAAUCAUUGGGGAAUCUGUGGAAACUUCAUCGUAUUGGGGAUCGUUGCUUGCAAUUAUUUGCCUUGAACCAGGAAUGCCUUGUAGACACAACUUAGCAAAUUGUAUCGAAUACGUCCCUGCCGUUUGUACACACCGCCCGUCGUUGCAAUCGAUCGGUUCAAUGCUAGAGGUCUUCCAGAGGUGAGUUCGAUCCUGUAUUGUCUUUACCAAAGUUGAUCAAUAGCAUUGAACUAGAGAAUGCAAAAGUCGUAACGAGGU